UACGUAGGGGGGCAAGCGUUGUCCGGAAUCAUUGGGCGUAAAGCGCGCGUAGGCGGCCCGGUAAGUCCGCUGUAAAAGUCCAGGGCUCAACCCUGGAAAGCCGGUGGAUACUGUCGGGCUAGAGUCCGGAAGAGGCGAGUGGAAUUCCUGGUGUAGCGGUGGAAUGCGCAGAUAUCAGGAAGAACACCCGUGGCGAAGGCGGCUCCCUGGGACGGUACUGACGCUGAGACGCGAAAGCGUGGGGAGCGAACAGG
rnacentral:rRNA from 1 species